AACGAACGCUGGCGGCAUGCCUAACACAUGCAAGUCGAACGAGACCUUCGGGUCUAGUGGCGCACGGGUGCGUAACGCGUGGGAACCUGCCCUUAGGUUCGGAAUAACUCCCUGAAAGGGGUGCUAAUACCGGAUAAUGUCUUCGGACCAAAGAUUUAUCGCCUUUGGAUGGGCCCGCGUUGGAUUAGCUAGUUGGUAGGGUAAAAGCCUACCAAGGCGACGAUCCAUAGCUGGUCUGAGAGGAUGAUCAGCCACACUGGGACUGAGACACGGCCCAGACUCCUACGGGGGGGAGCAGUGGGGAAUAUUGGACAAUGAGCGAAAGCCUGAUACAGCAAUGCCGCGUGAGUGAGGAAGGCCUUAGGGUUGUAAAGCUCUUUUACCCGGGAUGAUAAUGACAGUACCGGGAGAAUAAGCUCCGGCUAACUCCGUG
rnacentral:rRNA from 1 species